GAUGAAGAACGUAGCGAAACGCGAUAGGUAAUGUGAAUUGCAGAAUUCCGUGAAUCAUCGAAUCUUUGAACGCACAUUGCGCCCCUUGGUAUUCCGAGGGGCAUGCCUGUUCGAGCGUCAUUAUAACCCCUCAAGCUCAGCUUGGUGUUGGGGCCUGCUGCACUGGCAGCCCUUAAAAUCAGUGGCGGCGCCAUCUGGCUCUAAGCGUAGUAAUUCUUCUCGCUAUGGAGUCCUGGUGGAUGCUUGCCAUCAACCCCCAAUUUUUCUAUGGUUGACCUCGGAUCAGGUAGGGAUACCCGCUGAACUUAAGCAUAUCAAUAAGCGGAGGA
rnacentral:misc_RNA from 1 species